AGACCAUGAUGUGGACACUUCUUCUACCAUUCUUUAAACCUCUCACAAGCUUCAUACAAAAAUUAACCAUCAAACUGAAAAAAAAUUGGUAAUAUCAUUUCUAAGUUU